rnacentral:rRNA from 1 species
GACGAACGCUGGCGGCGUGCUUAACACAUGCAAGUCGAACGGAAAGGCCCUGCUUUUGUGGGGUGCUCGAGUGGCGAACGGGUGAGUAACACGUGAGUAACCUGCCCUUGACUUUGGGAUAACUUCAGGAAACUGGGGCUAAUACCGGAUAGGAGCUCCUGCUGCAUGGUGGGGGUUGGAAAGUUUCGGCGGUUGGGGAUGGACUCGCGGCUUAUCAGCUUGUUGGUGGGGUAGUGGCUUACCAAGGCUUUGACGGGUAGCCGGCCUGAGAGGGUGACCGGCCACAUUGGGACUGAGAUACGGCCCAGACUCCUACGGGAGGCAGCAGUGGGGAAUAUUGCACAAUGGCGCAAGCCUGAUGCAGCAACGCCGCGUGCGGGAUGACGGCCUUCGGGUUGUAAACCGCUUUCGCCUGAGACGAAGCGUGAGUGACGGUAAUGGGUAAAGAAGCACCGGCUAACUACGUG